AUAUAUAUUUCGACAUAAAUUGAUGUCCGAAAAAAAUAAAUUUGUCUUGCAUGCGUUGCAUGAUCUUGCGUAAAUUGCUUUCGUGGCGUAAUGCGAUGUAAAGAUGUUUGCUGAGCCAUGCGCAUGUCAAAUUGGACAAGGAUAUCUGAUCAUAUAUAUUUGCUUAAUUAUAUAUAUGCAUCAUCCUUUUACCGCGUCUUAUGUUGAUAGUCACAAUUGUGGGGCUAUGUGUGUGGGAAGCAACUUUUGGAAAAGCCGUUUGUCGGGUUAUUGGCGUUUUUUUUUACGUUUGCGAACCGAGCCAAUUCUCACAUUAUUCAAUCGAUAUGUGUAUGUAUGUAUGUAUGUAUGUAUGUAUGUAUAUACACACAAGGCUGAUGGAAGAACGUGCUGCGGUUGACCGAUGUGGAGGUUUGCGCGAGAUACGCUUGCGCCGUAUUUCCUAGCUCUAGCUGAUUAGAAAAGGUUCAAGGCGUUCAGCUUCAUAGGAGUUCUUGAAUUCUGCACGCAUUCACUAUAUCGGAGUACACGGUGUGUUUACAGAGUUCGCGAUGCUGACUUCGUAAACAGAGAUCGACUAGCUAGCACACUCGUUUGUUACGUUACUGGUGUAUACCACGUGGUGAAUGAACUAUCUAAGAAAGAGGGCAUUGGAGCAUCGCUGGUGAAGACAACAUAUCGACUAGUACAUAGACAGACAAGUCCAAGCACAAGAGCUUUGCGCUGAGAACCGUCACUUUAAAGGUCACUCAAGGGCACCUUGCUCGACAUUCACCGAAAUUGACGAGCACAUUUUCCAAACGUUAUUAAAGAUUGAUGCAUCCGUUGAUGCGUGCGUUAGUAUCGUCGGAACGUGCCUCCCUUUUUACAUUCGUCAAACUGUCCUAUCGCGAGUAAUAAGUUCGUUGAUAAAGUGAACUCGACCGAUCCUUUUUGCUUUGCAUCUUAUCUGCCAGUGAACUCUAAGUGAUAUGAUUUCUUCGGAUUUCCAUUUUCAUUGAAUCAUUCUGUAAUUUUUUCACAUCAUAUUUAUUCGAUGUGUUCGAAAUUUUUUUUUACAUUACCAAAUAUAUGAAAAUGUUGGUACAAGUAUUGAUAAUAGUGAAUGCAAAUGAGAUAUAAAUAUGUUUAUGCUAUUUAAUUUUUUUAUAUAUGGAGAGUUUGAUAAAGAUUAUAUUUUGAAUAAAAAAUAAUAUUUUUGUAG